CCGGAUUUAGCUCAGUGGUACAGCGCCUGCCUUGCAUGCACAAGAUCCUGAGUUUGAUCCUCAGUACCAGGA
rnacentral:tRNA from 1 species